ACUUGAUUCAAAUGCCUAAUCCUUUUUAGUUAAGUUUCCUGGGACAAAUAACCUGGAAGGACUGUCACCACUGAAACUUCAAGUUGUGUUCUUUAACCUACAUUCUUACCUAUAGGCCUAGGUAGGCGUUCAAUAAACAUGCGUAAGUCUACUACUAGUCAUCCCCAAUGGGAGUAAUUAGCACUGUCUUCUUUGAUUUGAAAGAUGCUGUCCUUUGAGUAUGAAGUUAUGUUGAUAUGUAAUUGAUGGAGAAUCACCGUUUAUUAGAGUGUUCUGAUCCACGGCCCUUCAGAGCAGUUACAACAAAAGAUUCAAAAUGGGAACAACACAAAAUAAGGUAGAGAGCGUUGGAUAUACAGAUCAUCAAAAUGACUCAUAAGAUGGCCAUUUCGUGAAUGUCUGAAAUCAUGGUAGUGGAGACAAAGCUUUUUAUUCUGCACUGCAUGCACCUCAGGAAAAGGUGAUGGUGUAACAGGUCUGGUUGAAAGCAACAGAGCAUGAGGCCGUGGCCCCUGCAGGGAAAGAAGGGAGCUAUACCAGCGUGUGGACGUGGACCCAGUAAGGAGAAGCAGUGCACACAGGAAACCAACUUUGCACCUCUUCAGUGUUUCUUCCUUUAGCCAGCCAUUUUACCUAUAAAUUCACCUCUUAGGAAUGUUAUACAGAAUUUAAAAGAGAUAAAGAGUGCUGAAUUUCUUGGAAGAAAGAUAAGCAAGUGUUCCACCAUGACCACGUCUUGAAAGAUUAUGAAGAAUGGAGAUGGAGUAUAAUGGCUUGCAUAUAAAACAUAGCAUUAAUUCAGAAUUUUACUAGCUUAAUUUUCUUUUGUUAGAUGUGGUACUAAGUGUCACCUAUUGAAGGAAUAAACAAAACUGUGAAAAGAAUGGUAAGAGUUCAGAUUCUUUUGGAGGACCCUAGUGACCUGUGUUUACUUACAAAUGUUGCUGUUGGUAGAAGAGAACAAUGAGGGGGUAGAGGGAAAAGAAAGAAAACAUAGUGAUCGUAGUGGUAGGUAUUUUCUCACAGGAUUUUUUUAGUCCUCAACUGUGAGAUAGCUAUUAUUAUCUCCAGUUUACAGUAGGGAAAGCCAUAGAAAACUUAAGUAACAUGCCCAAACUAGCAUUUUGCAUAGCCAGUUAAGUGGCAGAGCUCCCAAACCCAAAAUUAAAUCUCCUAGAUGCCAACACUCACAUUCUUUCCACAGCAGUAAUUAAGGGUCCCAGUAGAUGUGAAAUCAGGCCUGGCAGGGCUUCUGCUUACAAACAUGUUGAGAACAAUUAGUUCACGUGAUUAUAAAAUAUCUGUUACUACAGUUACAUUUUAAAAUACCAGUUUUACAGUCUAGAAAUUUCCAAGUAAAUUUUCUGCAAAUGUUUUUGAUCCGUGACAUAAAUUUCCUUAUCCUCUUGGCUGGAAAAGGGAGUCUUUGAAAAGGCUGUUUCUUCCUCCACUAGCGGCCUUCUUGCUUUGCAAUUGUCAAAAGAUUAAAAAGACCUUUCUGAAAGGCUUUCUUAGGCUUCUAGUAUAUAAAUUUCUUCCACUCACUGCUUCCCUAAGCUGCUUUUAUUUUCAGGCUUUAAGAGAUUUUCUGGAGACACUUUUCCAACGAGUCCGACACCAACCCUCAGGCUGCUUAUGGAAAUGGAAUUGCAAACACACGGCUCUUGCACCAUGGGCAUAUCAAAAUGUGAAACAUGUUUCAGAUUACAAGGUUAUCCAGUAACCUUAACCAUUCAACACGAAAUCACAAGAUUUCAGGGCUAAAAGGGACCACUGAGAACAUUGAAUCCAUCUCCUCAAAUAUGUUUGAAAUUCCUUAAGAUGAAGCACGACGUACCUAGUAAAGCUGAUUCCUUCAAAAGCCUUUACCUCAGUGUGGAACUUCCUUGUUAAAGGCAUUUUAUUACAUGUAAUUUUCAGCAUUAUGGCAUGGUAACAACUCCUGAGUAUGAACAAUCUAGCUAAAUCUGAUUUGUGCCUAUAAACAAUAUUAUAACAGGGCAAUGAAUUUCAGACUCUGUUCCCAUUCCAAAAGCUGGACCAUGGAGUUUCACUAUUAAAACUUAAUGACAGUGGUCUUUUUCAAAUGUGUAGUAAAAAAUUAAAUUAACUAAUAGAAUUGUGUCUGCUAAAAUUUGUAACCCCAUAUACUUUUAAAGCUUUUUCUAUAUAAGUCUUUAGUAUAAAAUAUUAUCUUAU